AUGUUUCACUCAAAAAAAUUGUGGUUACCAUUUCAGUUGUUCCCCAACGGCAAGGGUACCUGUCGCGUUCUCCAUUCUCCACCAUGUCUAAUCUUGUCCUGUGUUGUACUAUGUUUUCCUUGUUUCCUACUAUAUUUAAGCAGCACUCAUGACAACUUGUUUCCCCAUCUGCUCAACUUCAAUAUGUUUCUUCACCUCUUACUUCUUGGACUUGUUUUUACCAUACACAUUCCUCCAUCCUCUGCUGCCAUUGACUCCAUUGCACCUGGCCAAGGACUUGUUUUCAGUGUCGGUGACAAGCUUGUCUCCUUAGAUGGCAAGUUUGCGCUUGGCUUAUUCCAAACAGACAGUAAGUCUCACAACACCUUGAAUUGGUACCUAGGCAUUUGGUUUAAUAAAGUCCCCAAGAUAACUCCAGUGUGGGUCGCAAACUGUGAUGAUCCAAUCACACAGCCUGCUUUAGUUAGGUUCAUAAUUUCCCAAGAUGGCAAUCUUGUCAUCUUAGAUCAAGCCACCAAUUCCAUAAUCUGGUCUAGCAGAGUUAGUAUCAGAACCAACAGCACCAUUGCCAUGCUCAUGAACAAUGGAAACCUUGUCCUACAAAAUGCCUCAAACUCAUCCAACAUUUUAUGGCAGAGUUUUGACCACCCAACAAAUACUUUGCUCCCUGGUGCAAAGAUCGGCAGAGACAAGGUCACUGGCUUGAGUCGCCGUCUUGUUUCUAACAAGAACUUGAUUGACCCAGCUCAUGGUCGUUACUGUUAUGAAUUAGUUCCUAACAAGUUAAUCCUUACGCCUUUGAACUCAUCCAUGGCAUACUGGUCUAGCGGGGAAUGGAAUGGACAGUAUUUUAGCUCCAUUCCGGAGAUGUUAAGCCGCAACUUCAUAGACUUCAAGUUUGUCAACAACACAAAUGAAGAGUACUUCACAUUCACCUUACUGAAUGACACAGUGAUCAUGCAUCAUCUACUUGAUGUUUCUGGUCAAAUGAAGACUUUCAUAUGGGUUGAGGUCUCUCAGGAUUGGUUACGUUCCUACUUCAACCCCAAUGCUCAGUGUGAUGUCUAUGCUUUCUGUGGACCAUUCACUGUGUGCAAUGACAACUCAACUCCAUAUGUAGCUGUGUGA
rnacentral:rRNA from 1 species